rnacentral:rRNA from 1 species
GGGCCCGCACAAGCGGUGGAGCAUGUGGUUCAAUUCGAAGCAACGCGAAGAACCUUACCUGGGUUCGAAAUGCAGUUGUAAGCCUCAGAGAUGAGGUCCCCUCUUCGGAGGCAGCUGUAUAGGUGCUGCAUGGCUGUCGUCAGCUCGUGUCGUGAGAUGUUGGGUUAAGUCCCGCAACGAGCGCAACCCUUGUCCAUAGUUGCUAACGCGUAGUGGCGAGAACUCUAUGGAGACUGCCGGUGAUAAACCGGAGGAAGGUGGGGAUGACGUCAAGUCCUCAUGGCCUUUAUGUCCAGGGCUACACACGUGCUACAAUGGACGGUACAAAGAGUCGCGAUCCCGUGAGGGGGAGCUAAUCUCAAAAAGCCGUUCUCAGUUCGGAUUGUUCUCUGCAACUCGAGAGCAUGAAGCUGGAAUCGCUAGUAAUCGCGGAUCAGCACGCCGCGGUGAAUACGUUCCCGGGCCUU